rnacentral:rRNA from 1 species
UCCGGAUAAUCCUCGUCAGUCGCUUUCAGCUCCCUACUACGUACAUGUCAAACCCAGGUAAGGUUCUUCGGUUUGCAUCGAAUUAAACCACGUGCUCCACCGCUUGUGCGGGCCCCCGUCAAUUCCUUUGAGUUUCAAUCUUGCGAUCGUACUCCCCAGGCGGAAUGCUUAUCGCGUUAGCUCCGGCACGGACACCUCUCGAUGCCCACACCUAGCAUUCAUCGUUUACGGCCAGGACUACCGGGGUAUCUAAUCCCGUUUGCUCCCCUGGCUUUCGCGCCUCAGCGUCAGUUGCUGGCCAGCAAGUCGCCUUCGCCACCGGUGUUCUUCCCAAUAUCUACGCAUUUCACCGAUACACUGGGAAUUCCACUUGCCUCUCCAGCACUCCAGUCAUCCAGUUUCAACCGCAUGAUCCGGUUAAGCCAAACCAUUUCACAGCUGACUUAAAUGACCGCCUACGCGCCCUUUACGCCCAGUAAAUCCGGACAACGCUCGUCCCCUACGUAUUACCGCGGCUGCUGGCACGUAGUUAGCCGGGACUUCCUCGUGUGGUACCGUCACGCUCUUCUUCCCACACAACAGAGGUUUACGACCCUAAGGCCUUCUUCCCUCACGCGGCGUCGCUGGGUCAGGGUUUCCCCCAUUGCCCAAUAUUCCCCACUGCUGCCUCCCGUAGGAGUCUGGACCGUCUCUCAGUUCCAGUGUGGCCGUUCACCCUCUCAGGCCGGCUACCCGUCUUCGCCUUGGUGAGCCGUUACCUCGCCUACUAGCUGAUAGGACAUGAGCCGCUCCUCAAGCGGAUUGCUCCUUUUACCUCCCGGCUUAUGGGGUAUUAGCAUCGGUUUCCCAAUGUUGUCCCCCUCUUGAGAUACGUUCUCAUGCAUUACUCACCCGUUCGCCACUA